CAGUAGAUUCACAACACGAUAUGUUUCCAUCUUUAGCGGUUACCAAGGGAUUAUGUGUGCGAAAUUUUUGUGAUGAUCACCAUAUCUCAGGAAAUCCUGAAGGUAAUCUUAGUAUUUAUAGGAUUUGAAUUCCAUAACCACCAUAGUAAAUAUCAAUUAGGGUUUUUCAAAUUCAAAUAACACGAAAAAGAUGUAUGAUUUGUGAAAAGUUAUUAAUUUGUUAUGGGUAUUUGCACAUUUUACUCUUCUUUCUUGUGAUUUCAUCAUCAGGUAAUCCUUUUCAUUUGUGUUUUUCUCUAUUUAUCCCUCUUAAACCCUAAUCCUCUUCAUCCUCUCGACGAGUUGUGUUUCUUCAUCUUAUUCAUUUUAUAUCUCUUAAAUUGUAACCCUCUUAAAACCUUAUAUCUAAUCUCUAUCACGAUCGUCUUAUAACCUCACCCCUUGCUAGCUGUUGUAAUAUUGUCGAUUUUUAUCAUAGAUAACGUGGUUGUCGGUGACGAAACCAUCAAUUUCAGGGAAAUAUUUUAUUAGAGCAGUGAUCAUAAUGAUUGAUAUUAUGUAUCCCAUCAGGUUGCUCGAGAUAUAUAUUAUCAUCACAAUAUCUUACAUCUCACCAGAAGGUUAAUCUAGAAGAAGUGAUUAUUGGACGAUAAUUCCUUAUUAAAUGUUCUUCUUGAUUUGUCAACUUCCAAAAAUUGUUUCAUUUGUUUUCAUAGUUUUGUUGAAUUAUCUGAUUGAUAUGAAAUGCAGAGCAUGUUAUACCAACGCAUUUUUAUAUAGUUGGUUAAAAGAGGUGGAAUAUUGGUGCCUCUAAAUUAGUAACAACAUGUUUUUGUCUUUGCAGGAGGGUUUUAAGGAUAUGUUUGUAGUUUUUGGUAUCAUAUUGGAUUAUUGGCUACUGGACUUGGUUUGUUAUCAUCUAUUGUGGUUAUAAUUUUGAUGAAGUUGUAUUUUUUUUUUUUUUUUGUAUAAUAGUUAAAUACAAGCAAUAAUAAUGUAGUUAGUAUAUUAUAGCAUCGCACUUUCAUUUAUUCCUAUUACGACAAUAUUCUUCAAAAAUAUAUCACCUAUUAAUAAAUGAAAGUAGGAUGCUAUAAGAAAUAAUUAAAUGUGACUGCAAGUUAUUUCUUGCAUUUAGCCUUCCAUUUUAUUUAACCUGGUUUACCUAAUUUUGAUAAAAUCCAGGUUCAGGCGAUACAUAUGUCUUGGGUUUUGCUACAUUCACAACUUCUCUGCAAUAAGCUACUAUAUAUGCAGGUGUUUUUUUUAUCGUUUCAUUAAAUCGUUGUUUCUUUCUUAUAGAUACCAAUUCAACUUCUCCAAGGUCAAAUCUAUUUUUUUCAAUCAAAGUUUAAAUUAAAAAUGUUACAAAUGCUACAUGAACAUCGUGCAUUAGAUAUGUUGGCAUGCUUUUAACAUAGUUACAAUUUUCUUUUAAUUAAAAAUAUGAAAAAUGUAUAUCAAUCUUGGAGUAAAAAGUAAAAUUUUGCUUCUAUCUUUUGUAUGGAAGAGUAGAUCUUCACUUUUUUGGUUAUUUAGCAUAAAUAUCUAUUACUUUUACAGAAAUUCACUAUGGAUUAAGAGUAAAAUCGUCAGUUACUCUCAUUCAGAAAUUUAUAUUAAACAAGAAGUUUUAUAGUUUGACUUUCGCAUUACUGGAGAAAGUUAUGCAACCAUGCAGGUUCACAUAUACAGACUGAUCUACUUUCCACCUUUAGUUGAUGUGUAUGUUAAAUAUGAAGUGAAACCAACAACUUCCAUGACUAAAUUUAAAUUAUUAUACUUUAUAAAUGCAAGAAUAUGAGAUUUGUUAUGAUUGAUAAACAUAACAGAGUUUUGUUAUGAGUUGAUUAGAGGUUUGAAGUUCAUCUUUAUAGAACAUGAUUGAUAAUGUAAAUAUUAAGCCCUUUGUUUGUGACAAUAGAACUGGUACGGUGAAGAUUGUAUAUUAUUUUUUCUCCUUUUA